UACGGAGGAUGCAAGCGUUAUCCGGAAUGAUUGGGCGUAAAGCGUCCGCAGGUGGCUGUGUAAGUCUGCUGUUAAAGAGUCAUGCUCAACAUGAUAAGAGCAGUGGAAACUACACGGCUAGAGUGCGUUCGGGGCAGAGGGAAUUCCUGGUGUAGCGGUGAAAUGCGUAGAGAUCAGGAAGAACACCGGUGGCGAAAGCGGCUUUCUGGGCCUUACCUGACGCUGGAGACGCGAAAGCGUGGGGAGCGAACCGG
rnacentral:rRNA from 1 species